rnacentral:misc_RNA from 1 species
AUAACUUGGUGAUUUUGUUGGAGGUGGACAAUAUCUAAGGCAACUUUAUAUAUACGUUGUAUGUCAUUAGUAUGUAAAGUUUUAGCCUUUGUCCAUACCUUACAACAAGUCUUACAAGACUGAAAUAAGGUAAGUAAUUUGGGGUCCAGAGAAUGCCAUAAAAGGCUACAUAACUGUGCAUCUACCUUGUUCUAGCUAGUUCUACCAUCAACAGCAAUAUCACCAGCAUUCUUGACUAGAUGUUCAUCACAACCUUGCCCCAUGAACCACAAUUCUACUAAAGCUGACCAUGACAUAUAAUUAUUGCUACCUUGCAUCUUCAUAGUAGUACUUGUUGGAGAAUUGAAAAUAAAAGAGAAAGUUGGCUUAGAGUCACCAAAAUUGGAGGAACUACCUAUUUCAGUCAUGUUGGUUGCUCCUAAAACCUUCAAAUAGAUCAGACAAAUAGUGUUGGAUGUCUUGAAGAACAAACCCAAAGGCUACUAUCUCUUGGUGGAGGGAGAUCAGGAGAAGACCCAAAAAUGGUGUAGGGUCAGGAAGAGCUGCCGAUCAGGGGCGAGUUGGCCAGCGUUGGACCUACAAAAACGGUCGCCGAAUUAUCCCUCACGCACCGGCACGUGUGAAGACAGGGGAGGCACGUUGAUGACGCGUGACGGCUUCCGAUAAAGGUCCAGCAUCGGUCUUUUGGGGCCUGAGUCACCGAUGGUCAAUGAAUUCUUUUAGGUGAGUGAUUUAGUCCACCUCCUUCUAGUAGGUGGCCAACUAGAACGGCGGUGCCAUUUGUUCUUCCACAUCCGAAUCUCCAAGAA